GUGGGGAAUCUUAGACAAUGGGGGAAACCCUGAUCUAGCCAUGCCGCGUGAGCGAUGAAGGCCUUAGGGUUGUAAAGCUCUUUCAGCUGGGAAGAUAAUGACGGUACCAGCAGAAGAAGCCCCGGCUAACUCCGUGCCAGCAGCCGCGGUAAUACGGAGGGGGCUAGCGUUGUUCGGAAUUACUGGGCGUAAAGCGCACGUAGGCGGAUCAGAAAGUCAGAGGUGAAAUCCCAGGGCUCAACCUUGGAACUACCUUUGAAACUCCUGGUCUUGAGGUCGAGAGAGGUGAGUGGAAUUCCGAGUGUAGAGGUGAAAUUCGUAGAUAUUCGGAGGAACACCAGUGGCGAAGGCGGCUCACUGGCUCGAUACUGACGCUGAGGUGCGAAAGCGUGGGGAGCAAACAGGAUUAGAUACCCCUGUAGUCC
rnacentral:rRNA from 1 species